GGAAUUCUAGGUUGAGGGUUUUGUUGUUUUUCAGGGUCUUACUCUGGGCCACAGUUUGGGGCCAGCCUGGGCUACAUAACGACCUCACUAUUCACUAUAUAUCUCAGAGGGACCUCAAACAGAUGGUACUCCUGCUUCAGCCUUCCAAGCACUGGGGUUCUAAGUGUGAGCCAUCUUGUAUAAUAUUGGAGGGACUAGCCUUAAUAUUAAUACUUCCCAGGGGCUCAGGAGAGAAACUUCGAACGGCGAGGACUAUUUUUGGGAAAUAGAAUCUCAGCACACCGAGCUCUUUAGUCCACUUGCUUUAAUUCCUCUGGGAUAACAUCCCAUUUACACAGCUUCAGUUCUGUUCUUGUGCCUAGCUCCUUUCUUGCCUGAUUUCUCUCUAUAUUUAUCUACUGUUCCCUCUAAGUUCUAUCUUAAUUCUGCCUCAUCCAGGUCCUUUUCAUUUUGUUCUUACCCAGCUAGUACUUCCCCAUUUGACUCUUCCUCAUCUUCCAUCUCGUCCACAUGUUCUCUCUGGUCAAAAUCCUCCUUAUCCCUCUCUGUUCUCCAUCUCUAAGUUCUCCAUGUUCCUCCUAAGUCUCCCAGGAAUCCAGUUAUAAACCCAAGCAAUAGCAAUCCCCUGGUCGAGCAAGGUCACCAGGCUUGAGUUCUACAGGGUCAUAAAGGCAGGUAAGAAUUUUCCUCAGGCAGUGACCACCAGGCUUUCUUUUACAACCCAAAAAUGAGAGUGGUAAAAGAGGAGGUCAACUGAGUGCUAAUGACCGAUUAGUAUAUCAAAAAGGGGGUCUAUGUGCUCAGUCUACAUUCCUAGAAGUGGUUAGGUAAGAAGUUAGGGGUCUAUUAGUAAGGUUGUAUAAGGAAGGAGGGUCUCACCCUAAAUUGCACAAGAAAUAAAGCUAUCUGCUGACCUAGGAGACAGGUGUUGUUUCAUAUGGCCUUGGAUGCUUGAUAGGUACUUUAGAUAAAUACACUGUUAGGAGUUCUUUAGAAGCACACAAGAAAAUCAUUUUAGGAACCAGCUAAUAUAUAUAUAUAAGCUAAAAUAUCACCAAGACUUCUUAAGCCAUGGAUUGACCUUUGGAGAAGUCCUUGACUUUUCCAAGUAGUAGCUUUUGUGAUAGUAGCUGAAUUCCAUUACGUUUUCCUGCAGCUUGCAGCACCACACCUGGCUUUCCAUGUCAGGUUUUGAUUCAGAAGUUACCUGGGUAAAUUAGGAUCCCUGAGGUAGGGGGUCCCCUGCUACCCUUUCCUUUAAGAAACCAGUUGUGGUUCUAUGUCUGUCUCUCCAUUUCUGACACGAUUAAAACUGGUCCAUCUUCUCUGCACCCCACCUCAUCAAGGUCCUGUCAGUCACCAUCUCAUCCCUUUAACUUCUAUAGACAUGUGGUGUUCACUGGCUCAGCCCCUUAUCUUCCAUUCCCUCUUCAGCUCACCACAUUUGGAUGCCAUGACUCUGGCCAAGGUCUGUGGCAGCACGUGCUCAUUCAUGGGCGAGGCCCCCAGGAUAGCAUUUCAGUCUGUCAUGGACCACUCCCUCCUUCUGGAAACUUCCUUUACAGCCUCUUCUCUCCUGCCUCCCUUCUUCUCCAGCUGAUCCUCAGAACAUUCCAACAGGGGCUUCUCAUGACCCCUUCCUUUAUUGUGGGCCAUAAGCUUCAGGGCUCUGUCUGUUCUGGCCCCUUCCAAUCCUACCUUGCCUAUUCUUUCAAGAAUGAUCUUAGUUUUGGGUUCCAGCUAGAGUGAAACACAUACCCCUCUCCAGUCUCCUGGAUGCCUCCGUGAAGUGUCUCAUGGAAUAACCUCUGGGCAUCCCCUGUCCCCAGUCUCUCCACAGGCACUUGAGCUCUCCUCCCAGUCAACAGGCUGCCUCAUUGUCCACUUGCUUUAUGGCUAGACCUCAGAGUCAUGCUUGUAUCUUUGCUCUGUUAUAAUCCAAUCCCUACCUUAACUGUUUCACUCAUGCAACCUCAUUGCUGGCUCUGGGAUGCUCCCUACCCUCAUGGCCUCUACUCCAGCCCAGACCUUGCCUUAACUUGUCCCCAGGCCUCUCCUUUGCCUCCAGGGUUCCAGUCCAUCCCCAGUGCCUUAGCAUAUUCUUCAGCACUUUGACCCUCAUGAGGAUCCUAGCUGCUCUUCAGCUGUUACAUACAAUUUCCUGGUAUGGAAGAAGCCUCGAUCACUACUUACUGUCAUGGUUCUCUGCCGAGCAAGUUUGUGCUCCUAUUUUUUUUUUUUUAAUUAUGUGUGUGUUUUGUCUGCAUGUCGUCUGUGCACCAUAUGCAUACCUGGUGCCCUGUGGAGCAUCUAUGAGCUCCCACAUGGGUUCUGUCAAUUGAACCCGGGUUCUCUGGAAAAGCAUUUAGUGCUCUGUCUUAACCACUGAGCCAGCUCUCCAGGCCUGUGCUUUUUUAAGGUCAAGUCCAUCUCUUCUGUGAAACCUUCUCUGACCAUCAUUGCACAGACUCCCUGAACUACGGAUCAGUAGCCUUAGGAGCAGGCCUUGGGUUUAAAUUGCCUCACUAGACUCAAGGUCUACCAGGGGGCAGGCCUCUGAGGCUUUAAGGACUAUCUCAGGCAGGUAGAACUUGCAUCUUAAGUGGUUUUGGUUGCGAGCAAAGCUAGUCCCGGUCCACAAAUCCUAGUUUCCCCCUUUAGCAGACGCUUGAACCCAGUGCUGCCACCUGCUGGGCAAACACAUUCCGUAUUUUUAAAAAGGCCUAACUAAUUAAAUAGCUUUUAUUUACAAAAGACAAAACCGACUAGCCAUGGUCGGUCUCAACAGCAGUAGAAGGCAGUGGUGGAGUGAAGGUCCAGCUGUCUUGGUGACAGGCUGCUGCCCGAAGGGACACAGUGAUGCAGAGGUUCCCGCCUGCACUGUCUCCUGCAAGGCAUAUCCGCUCUCCUGUUGAACCUGUUGUGGGGAGAAGGGUCCGGUCAUAGCCUGGCAUGACCUGGGAGAACUGGGCUCUCAGGUGGGGGCCCUGUAGUGACCGGCAGUGACUUCACUGGAUGUCUGGGACUCAGAAUCUCCAUCUGGAAGCAUGCUGGAGGCUCUCCCCUGCCCCCCAGCUCACCGACAACACCUCAAUCUCAGUGAUGUUCCAGAAGGCUUUCCAGAAGUGCACAUCCAGUGUUCCCCGAAGGACACCAGCCCGAUGGAGAGAGUUUGCAGGAACGGCCGGAUGGCAGGUGUGAACUGUGAAGGGAUGCCUGUGUCACCCAACCACCCAGGAGACGGAUGAGGAUGGGGCACAAGGACAGGUUACCAGCCACCAGUGCCUUCACUGUGAGUCCAGGAGGACAUGGGGCAAGGGACUCACCUGGAAGCCCAGGCAGCGGCCAUAGAAGCAGCCUUUAUGUAGAGUGACAUACUCUUGCAGGAAGUCAGCGGUCAAAAUGGUGUGCCACACCCAGCAAGUGGCCUAGGGUUGGCUCCAGCCCCAGUGCCUGUUCUCGAACACCGGCAAAGACAUUGGACAGCCGCCGAGCUGUCUCUCCGGGGCCCUGGCUUGAGAAGAAGGCCAUGUUGUCUUCUGCAAGUGUCACCAGUGACUGUGUCAUUGUGCGGAGAUCCAUGCUGUAGGUCUGGGGACUCAUCCUCUUUCUGCCUAGCUGCUGGGAGUUGACACUCUCAGACUUUUCCCUGCUCUACCCUCUCCCUCCCGGAUCAAGGACUCCAGUCUCCUAAGCCCCAGAGGACUUGGUUCACCAGUGCUGCUCUCUACCCCAGAAGCCGGCCCACCCUCUUCCUCUUCCUUCCAGAUCCUGGGUUCUGGUGGCAGCAGCCAUUUCUGUCUCUCAGCUGGCCCUGCACUCACCCUCCCUGGCCUCUUCGGACUGGAGCUCCACAAGCUGGCACAGCAGGAACCUCUCGCUGGGACUGAUAAAGACGCAUGGACUGCAGGUGGAGAUGCAUGGUGGAGCACUUGUUAGCAUUCACCAGACCCUAGGUUUGGCUAUAAGCAGCGCCGCAAAAUAGACAAGACUCAUAACUGAGCCCGGACUUAAUGCCUGCUCUGACUGAGCCUUGCAACAUCUUUUGCUGGUCUGCUACUGUUUCUCUAGGUCUAGGGAAGCUAGACAACAGCCCUCUCAUCUCCCUAGGGAAAGUGUGGAGGUGCAAAGUCAAUGUAAAAGCUCUCUUUUUGGAAGUCGUGAGGAUCGGGAGCUUCGCCAAAGUGUUGCUGGGCUGACGAAGGUCGAUCGCCGAAGAGCAAACGGAUGGAUUGACUGAGAGUGGAAGCAGGGGCUGCGAGGAGUUUUUCCAGUUACCAGGUACUCCUACCACCUACCUCUCACAAGCCUGUACUCGUUCCUCAUUUGGUAAAAGCGGCUAAAAUCCUUCCCCAUUAUCCUCUUAAGAGUGCAGAAGACAUGAAAAUCAGCGUUUGAAUCAUUUCCAAGGCCGAAAACACUUAGAGCGAAGCUGUUGCUCUUGGCCACACAGAGAGUAACGAACCCAAGCGGGAACCCUAUUCCGACAGAGUCGCAUUCCCAAGACCGCACUAGGAUAGCCGGUAGUCCUCACGUCUGGGUGGGACAUUCUACUCUCACAUCACCCCCUUCUAAUAAUGGAUGGUCUCCGCCCCCCCCCACGCCCCACGCAGGACGGCAGUGGGUCAGUCCACGGGUCGCCCUCCCCCCUCCCCGUUGUGGAAGUGGGUCAGUCCACCCAGUCCCCCAGUGCCCCGCAGGAUGGGCAGAGUUUGUUCCGAGCUGCUCCCGGCUCACCUUUGACCUUGCCUUUUCGCCACCGCCUGCGACUGCGGUUCUUCGACCCUUCUUUGGCCUGCUUGGAGGCCUGGGCCCCCACGAUCCCCGAUUCCACGGCUGGCUCCAUCAAUUCUUU